rnacentral:rRNA from 1 species
UACAGAGGGUGCGAGCGUUGUCCGGAAUCACUGGGCGUAAAGGGCGCGUAGGUGGCCCGACAAGUCCGUGGUGAAAGCUCGGACGCCUCAACGUCGAGUCGGCCAUGGAUACUGUGGGGCUGGAGCAGCUGUAGAGGCUCAUGGAAUUCCGGGUGUAGCGGUGGAAUGCGUAGAGAUCCGGAAGAACACCGGUGGCGAAGGCGGUGAGCUGGGCAGUAGCUGACACUGAGGCGCGACAGCGUGGGGAGCAAACAGG